UAGUAGCAGCGGCCGAGCACUCUGCGUAGGCGGAAACUAGGCGGUUCAGAGCGAGUAGGGAGGAGCUGAGGGCCCGAGGCGGGGUUGGUGGUGGCUUGUGGGCAAGGCCGUGGACGGCUGGCUAGGUGGAGCUAUGAGGGAGGCACGAGAGCGGCAGGAGGUGCGUCCUGGCGGCGGAGCAAACUGCAACUCUGAGGAGCAGAGAGAUGAAAAAAACGCAGUGACAGAUGAGGCUUCAGGAAAGCAAGAGGGCCCCACUGCAGCUAGCAUUUGUGCAGCUCAGUCCUAGGCAUUUUUACUGAUCUCCUACUGUUCAGUGAGACUUGUUUUUACUGAUCUCGCAUGCAUUGAGUGGGCCAAGCAAGUGCGCUUCUUCAACCGCAGCUGGAUCCUCGGCAUGCCUGAGGACAAUGCGGGUUGCUGCUCCCAAAGAAGCAAGAUCAAGUUUGACAAAAAAAAAUCUCCCGCUUGCAACGAAAUCUGAAAGUUUGCAAGCAAAAACCCCAACUGAGGACUAGAAGAAUUCAAACACUGGCUGAUGUUACAGUUGUGGGAAUGGAACAUACAAAAUUAAUUCAAAGACUUCACAGAAAAGGUUAGCAGUUAGAGGAUGAAUCUGGGUGAAAGAGAAUUGGCAUCACACCACACCGCUGUAUGUUUGGAGAGGAAGUUCCGGGUAUAUUGGGUAGCAAGGGAGUGGGGAAUCGCCAGAAAGUAGGAUCUGAAAGUUGCUGCUGCUGUUGCUAUUAGUGUCUUACCACUUCUGGUACCACCUUAAACAGCAGGUUAAGGUGUGCAGGGGGGAAAUAGAGACAUGAUCGCUUCCUUGGAAACCCGGUCACUGAUGUGCCAUUUAUGACUUACACUGUGUAUAUUUGAUCUCAACAUCUCAUUAGUAAAGAUAGACAUUACCUUGCAAAGUUUUAUUGUACUGUACUUUAUUGAUGUACAAUGCUUUAUUAUCAGGGUGUGUAAUGAAUGCUAUAUUGAUGAUCAGAGCGGGUGGAAAGAAUGAUAAAGUUAUGUGAAUGUAGUACUUGUCUCCUUAAAACCCAACUUGUAACUGUACAGUAUGUAGUAACUAUCAAAAAGUGUUUUUAAAAAAAUAGAAUGGCAAAAUACUUAUUUGUAACAAAGUAGGCACUCUUACUAUGUUUCUUAAAGGGCAAUUCUUUUUAGCCUACUUUCCAGUAAGCUUAUGACAUCACCCAGCAUUCCAUCUGUGUGCCCGUUCAGGUGUCUUCCGCCCCCAUCAACUUUUCUAUGCCUGGACCAAUAUGAACAAAAUCAGGUACAUUUAUAGGGACACCUCAGUGGCACAGUUUGUGAUGAUGUCAUCGACCCCAUUCAAGAUGGCAGAUGUGUAAACUUUUGAGGCAGAAGUGGGCUAACUUGUGGACCACCUAACCAGUUUGGACCAAAUUUAGUCCAGUUGUAGGGAUAGUGAAAGGAAAAUAGGCAGAUUAGUUCUUAUUAAAACAACUUGUUCAACAAUGUAUUUGAAGAGUCUAACUUCUAGAACAAAAAGCCAUGUAAAAUACAGCUGGGCAAAAUUCUAAACUUUUUGCAGUAAAAUGGUGCUGCUAAAAGGAUAUUAGAAAACUGAUUUAGUAGUACUAGUAGAGUUACAGUGGAGUUUUCUAUAUAAUUAAAAAUGUAUUUCCUAUAUCCCCGUUAAAAAUAGGCAGUGGUGUACAACAGAAUGUCUCAGCUUGUGACCUCAAAAUUCCAGUUACUCUUAAUUCAAACUGCAAUCCUGUACUUACCUUAGAGUAGAUCCCAUUGAGCACAAUGGAGUUUACUUCCAAGAAGACUUGUAUAACAACUGUAUAAUCAGCUGAAUUGUUAUUUAAUAUUUUAUUGUUGAUAAUCUCAAAAUGCUUAAUAAACAUACUUUAAAAA